ACGGGAGGCAGCAGUGGGGAAUAUUGGACAAUGGGGGAAACCCUGAUCCAGCGACGCCGCGUGAGUGAAGAAGUAUUUCGGUAUGUAAAGCUCUAUCAGCGGGGAAGAAAAUGACGGUACCUGACUAAGAAGCCCCGGCUAACUACGUGCCAGCAGCCGCGGUAAUACGUAGGGGGCAAGCGUUAUCCGGAUUUACUGGGUGUAAAGGGAGCGUAGACGGCAUAGCAAGUCUGAAGUGAAAGCCCGUGGCUCAACUGCGGGACUGCUUUGGAAACUGUUAGUCUUGAGUGUCGGAGAGGUAAGCGGAAUUCCUAGUGUAGCGGUGAAAUGCGUAGAUAUCAGGAGGAACACCAGUGGCGAAGGCGGCUUACUGGACGAUAACUGACGUUGAGGCUCGAAAGCGUGGGGAGCAAACAGGAUUAGAUACCCUGGUA
rnacentral:rRNA from 1 species